CAAUAAAAUUUCAUUCUCCUUAAUAAAGUAAUAAAUUUAAGAAUGCAAGGCGUAGGUUACGCCUUCUACCGCCCUCUGUCGGAAAUCGGCAGGAAGUCAUCGACCGUGAGCUGUCUGAUCCUGGAUCGGCCUUCCUCGCCAUCUAGCGUGGGAUAGCUGCACUCUUGUAUUCCUCUAUGGACUUACGUGGAUCAUAGUUGCCAUUUUGAAAAAUAGAAGUAAAUCGUCAUCGGGCGUUUGCCUUCCUUCCUUUUAUUCGUAACCAGACUUAAUUAUGGGUUUUUUUUUAAGCUCCGCGUUAAUCGCGAAGAGUUUAGUAUUAUAUUUUAUUGUUGACUUAAUUUCCAUUGAACGUCCGGAGCCGGCUGUUUGCGGUGCGAGCCGAUUUAGGCUUGGCAACACUAGUCCCGUCCAAAAUGGCGAAUGAGAUGGGAUUUCUUUUUGCCGGAGAGAGAGUUGAAGGGAUAUCGUUGGCCCAGGCCAAAAUCGGGCGCAAUCGCCCGUUUGAGUGAGUUUCAAUAGUGAUUCGGUUGUGUAUUUCUUUUUAGUUGGUUAGUUUCUAACGAAGCGUUGCAUAUUUUCCAGCCCCGGAAUCGGACGUGAAUAAAACCAUGUUCUGAUGGUGAUAGGCGACGCCCAGCGUGCCCGGAUGUCGAAAUAGGUGCAAUUUUGCCCUCUGCUGGCCCUUUCUCCAUCAACGGGUUCACGCCGCGUCGCCUAAACCUCGCGCCGGCCGCGAGAGGUUCCCCUGGUAUCCCGGUAACUUGUGGGCAGCAGAUUGCUGCUGUUCUACCUACUCCCGACGUUUCACCCCAAGGCUGCUGACGUGGCAGUUGUGGUGUUUCGAGGUCAGAUCUUUCCACGUUUACUUAUUGACUGAAUGAACCGGCCUUUCGGUUCUGGCGCCCUUCCGUGUAACUACCUUAAUAUAUAUUGACCGCUGUAUCCGUUUCUACCAGUAAUGAUAAUUUAGAGCUCGCUGACCCACGUUUGUUCCCUUAAAAUAUAAACUCAACAUUAUUGUUCUCGUGAGCUAGCCCUCGGCAAACAAUUGUUACCGUGUAUCUAGGAUAACAAAUUAGCAUAAACAAUUUAGAUUUUUUUCCUGAAUUCAAUAAAUACCUGGUUCCUCUUCAA